GGUCGCAUAGCUCAGUUGGGAGAGCAUCUGCCUUACAAGCAGAGGGUCAUAGGUUCGAGUCCUAUUGCGACCAC
rnacentral:tRNA from 1 species